AUUGAACGCUGGCGGAAUGCUUUACACAUGCAAGUCGAACGGCAGCACGGACUUCGGUCUGGUGGCGAGUGGCGAACGGGUGAGUAAUGUAUCGGAACGUGCCCAGUCGUGGGGGAUAACGUAGUGAAAAUUACGCUAAUACCGCAUACGAUCUAUGGAUGAAAGCGGGGGAUCGCAAGACCUCGCGCGAUUGGAGCGGCCGAUGUCAGAUUAGGUAGUUGGUGGGGUAAAGGCCCACCAAGCCAACGAUCUGUAGCUGGUCUGAGAGGACGACCAGCCACACUGGAACUGAGACACGGUCCAGACUACUACGGGAGGCAGCAGUGGGGAAUUUUGGACAAUGGGCGCAAGCCUGAUCCAGCCAUUCCGCGUGCAGGAUGAAGGCCCUCGGGUUGUAAACUGCUUUUGUACAGAACGAAAAGGUUUCUACUAAUACUAGGAGCUCAUGACGGUACUGUAAGAAUAAGCACCGGCUAACUACGUGCCAGCAGCCGCCGUAA
rnacentral:rRNA from 1 species